rnacentral:rRNA from 1 species
UGGGGAAUUUUGGACAAUGGGCGAAAGCCUGAUCCAGCAAUGCCGCGUGUGUGAAGAAGGCCUUCGGGUUGUAAAGCACUUUUGUCCGGAAAGAAAUCCUUGGCUCUAAUACAGUCGGGGGAUGACGGUACCGGAAGAAUAAGCACCGGCUAACUACGUGCCAGCAGCCGCGGUAAUACGUAGGGUGCAAGCGUUAAUCGGAAUUACUGGGCGUAAAGCGUGCGCAGGCGGUUUGCUAAGACCGAUGUGAAAUCCCCGGGCUCAACUGGAACUGCAUUGGUGACUGGCAGGCUAGAGUAUGGCAGAGGGGGUAGAAUUCCACGUGUAGCAGUGAAAUGCGUAGAGAUGUGGAGGAAUACCGAUGGCGAAGGCAGCCCCUGGCAAGUACUGACGCUCAUGCACGAAAGCGUGGGGAGCAAAACAGGAUUAGAUACCCUGGUAGUCCACGCCCU